AAUCAACGCUGGCGGCGUGCCUCAGACAUGCAAGUCGAACGAUUAAAGCCCUCUUCGGAGAGUGCAUAGAGUGGCGCACGGGUGAGUAACACGUAAGUAAUCUACCCUCGAGUGGGGAAUAACGUCCGGAAACGGGCGCUAAUACCGCAUAAUGCAGCGGCAUCAUAAGAUAACAGUUGUUAAAGAUUUAUCGCUUGAGGAGGAGCUUGCGGCAGAUUAGCUAGUUGGUAAGGCAACGGCUUACCAAGGCUACGAUCUGUAACCGGUCUUAGAGGACGGUCGGUCACACUGACACUGAAUAACGGGUCAGACUCCUACGGGAGGCAGCAGUCGGGAAUUUUGGGCAAUGGGCGAAAGCCUGACCCAGCAACGCCGCGUGAAGGAUGAAGUAUUUCGGUAUGUAAACUUCGAAAGAAUAGGAAGAAUUAAUGACGGUACUAUUUAUAAGGUCCGGCUAACUACGUGCCAGCCGCCGCGGUAAGAC
rnacentral:rRNA from 1 species